UACGAAGGGUGCAAACGUUGCUCGGAAUCAUUGGGCGUAAAGCGCACGUAGGCGGCUUCGCAAGUCGGAUGUGAAAUCCCUCGGCUCAACCGAGGACGUGCAUCCGAAACUGCGGAGCUUGAGUGCUGAAGAGGAUCGCGGAAUUCCCGGUGUAGAGGUGAAAUUCGUAGAUAUCGGGAGGAACACCAGUGGCGAAGGCGGCGAUCUGGGCAGAUACUGACGCUGAGGCGCGAAAGCGUGGGGAGCGAACAGG
rnacentral:rRNA from 1 species